GUCGAGAAUCUUUCACAAUGGGGGCAACCCUGAUGGAGCGACGCCGCGUGGAGGAUAAGGUCUUCGGAUUGUAAACUCCUGUCAUGCGUGAACAAGGUUGCUUGGUUAAUACCUGGGCAAAUUGAUGGUAACGCAAGAGGAAGAGACGGCUAACUCUGUGCCAGCAGCCGCGGUAAUACAGAGGUCUCAAGCGUUGUUCGGAAUCACUGGGCGUAAAGGGUGCGUAGGUGGCGUGGUAAGUCAGAUGUGAAAGCCCGGGGCUCAACCUCGGAACUGCAUCCGAUACUGCCAUGCUAGAGUACUGGAGAGGUGACUAGAAUUCUCGGUGUAGCAGUGAAAUGCGUAGAUAUCGAGAGGAAUACCAAAGGCGUAGGCAGGUCACUGGACAGUUACUGACACUGAGGCACGAAGGCCAGGGGAGCGAACGGGAUUAGAAAUCCCGGUAGUCC
rnacentral:rRNA from 1 species